rnacentral:rRNA from 1 species
CGUGGAGGUCCGAACCCACGAGCGUUGAAAAGCUCGGGGAUGACUUGUGGGUAGCGGUGAAAUUCCAAUCGAGCCCGGAGAUAGCUGGUUCUCCCCGAAAUAGCUUUAGGGCUAGCCUCAAGGUGAGAGAUACGGAGGUAGAGCACUGAAUGUCCUAGGGGGUAUUGCACCUACCGAAGACUAUCAAACUCCGAAUGCCGUCAUCUUAUACUUGGGAGUCAGACUGUGGGUGAUAAGAUUCAUAGUCGAAAGGGCAACAGCCCAGAUCGUCAGCUAAGGUCCCUAAAUGUAAGUUAAGUGGUAAAGGAUGUGGGAUUGCACAGACAACCAGGAUGUUGGCUUAGAAGCAGCCACUCAUUCAAAGAGUGCGUAAUAGCUCACUGGUCGAGUGAUCCUGCGCCGAAGAUUUCCGGGGCUAAAACUUACUACCGAAGCUACGGCAUCAGUAAUGAUGGGUAGGGGAGCUUCCCAUACGGGUUGAAGCAUGACCGUAAGGACAUGUGGACAGUAUGGGAGUGAGAAUGUUGGCAUGAGUAGCGAGAUGUGGGUGAGAAUCCCACAGGCCGUAAACCCAAGGUUUCCAGGGGAAGGUUCGUCCGCCCUGGGUUAGUCGGGACCUAAGCUGAGGCCGAAAGGCGUAGGUGAUGGACAACAGGUUGAUAUUCCUGUACUACCGAUAACCGUUUGAGAGAAGGGAUGACACAGUAGGAUAAGCUAAGCACACUGUUGGUUAUGUGUGCCCAAGCAUUGAGGCAGUCAAAGUAGGCAAAUCCGCUUUGAUAAUGCUGGGAUGUGAUGGGGAGCGAAAUUUAGUAGCGAAGUAGCUGAUUUCACACUGUCAAGAAAAGUCUCUAUCGAGGUUAAAGGUACCCGUACCGCAAACCGACACAGGUGGGUGAGGAGAGUAUCCUAAGGCCAGCGAGAGAACUGUUGUUAAGGAACUCGGCAAAAUGACCCCGUAACUUAGGGAUAAGGGGUGCCACCAUCAGGUGGCCGCAGAGAAUAGGCCCAAGCGACUGUUUACCAAAAACAUAGGUUUCUGCUAAGUCGCAAGACGAUGUAUAGGAGCUGACGCCUGCCCGGUGCUGGAAGGUUAAGGGGAUCUGUUAGAG